UUGUCGGGUGGUGGGAGGAGUCUGUGCGACUGGCUGCUGGUGAGAGAUUAAAAAAGCAGCAGCCUGAGAGGAACUCCCCAUUACCUGAUAAACUGCUGACUGAAGGAACGUCUCUGUACCGCUGGAUAAUAACAGACCACAUUGGAUCACAGGCUACUAUGAAGCUGUUACAGGAAAGGGAGGAUGCAACAAGCGAUAGAAAGUAUAUAAAAUCUCAGGUGGAGAAACGGCGCAGGGAGAGGAUGAACUGCAGUCUGGAGCGACUGAGGACCAUGCUGGUUCAAGAGCCACAACAACUGGGUGGGACUCAGAGCAGAGUGGAGAAAGCAGAGAUCCUCGAGCACACAGUCCUCUUUUUGCAGAAAACUACAAAAGAGGACACCAGUGCUGAAGCUGGUGGAAGUAGUAGAGGCAGGAAACACUCCUUCCGAGACGGCGUCUCCACCUGCCUGCAGCAAGCUGCUCAGUUCCUGGGACCUGAGGGGAAAGGCCUGUGGCUUGGAGCAGCGCUGGAUGCAUCUUUUGCAGCUCGUGUUUCUUGGACAAACUCUGAUUCUGCAGCAGGCCUCCAAAGAAGAACUGACGCUUCCUCCUCGAGCUCUCUUUCACACACAAAGUCCAUUCUUCGGAAGCUGAGACAAAAAUCCAAGCAAAGACUGCACGCAGGAGUCUGCAGUCCAAAAAGUUUUGCUCAUCCUUAUCGACUUCCAGCCCAGCAGGGCUUUUCCAGAGUUUCUGAGCAGGCUCAAAGACAAAAUCAGCUUGAAACGCAAAGCUGCCCAGUCAGCCAGACUCUGUGGAGGCCCUGGCCCUGACCACAUGGUCCCUGAAACUGACCUUUAAUGACUUUAAUAGAUUUCUAAUAAUCACUUGUGAAAGCUAUUAUUCCUGAAAGAAGAUUUGCUGUAAUCUUGAAAAACUGCAUCUGAUCUCCUGAAAACCCAAAUCCUGUUUCGGCCUGUAAAUAAUGUAACGUAUAUUCUGUACAUGUGCAUAAUGUGAAUGUGUUCACUCACUACUUGUGUUCAGUGGUUGUGAAUGAGUGCAGACAGCGGGGCAGUAAUCUCUUCUGCAGGCAGGCACAGGGACUCUCCCGGGCUGGGAGAGCUGGACCCCAUGGCCAGGCGGAAACUGCUGCUGAGUUGAACAACAAGUUCAGAGGUGUGGGAGCUCAGGUUUCGAGGUUGGGAGCCCCUCACCUUCACCAUCACCUGUGUGCCAAGAUGUCUGCGCGCAGCCUUGUCUACAUUAUGACAUGUACUCUUUUUAAAUAUAUAUUUUGUCUAUUUUGCACACUAAUUUAUUCUGUAUGUCUCCCUAUGGUGAGAAGUAUUCUUUUUUAUAAGAAAAUAAAAACAUUCCUUGAAAUAA